GACGAACGCUGGCGGCGUGCUUAACACAUGCCAGUCGAACGGUGAAGCUCAGCUUUUGUUGGGUGGAUGAGUGGCGAACGGGUGAGUAACACGUGAGUAACCUGCCCCCUUCUUUGGGAUAACGCCCGGAAACGGGUGCUAAUACUGGAUAUUCACUGGUGUUCGCAUGGGGGUUUGUGGAAAGGGGUUUUCUGGUGGGGGAUGGGCUCGUGGCCUAUCAGCUUGUUGGUGGGGUGAUGGCCUACCAAGGCUUUGACGGGUAGGCGGCCUGAGAGGGUGACCGGUAACAGUGGCAGUGAGAUAGGGCCUAGGCUACUACGCGGGGCAGCAGUGGGGAAUAUUGCAGAAUGGGUGCAAGCAUGAUGCAGCGACUGUGCGUGAGGUAUGGAGGCCUUCAGGUUGUGAACCUCGUUCGCUAAUGCUCUAGCCGCAAAAAUGGUUGUGGUGACGGUAGUGGGUAAAGAAGCACCGGCUAACUACGUG
rnacentral:rRNA from 1 species